rfam:Culex pipiens quinquefasciatus supercont3.174 genomic scaffold, whole genome shotgun sequence.
CAAAAGGUUUUUUUUAAAUCUACCUAAAAAUUCUAAAAAUGAUUUU